GGGGAUGAGGCUUAGUGGUAGAGAACUUGCCUAGCAUGUAUGAUACCCAGGGUUAGAUUCCCAGCAUCUCCA
rnacentral:tRNA from 2 species